AGGUUAAAGUUUAUUUGUCUUAUAUUACAAUAGGAUGAAAGUAUAAUGGAAAUCAUUUGAGCACUUCAAGAUGAGUGAAAUAACUGAAGUUGCACAUGGACUCCCAUGGAUGUUAGCAAGGGACAAUAGAAAUGUGCUCAAAAAUUACAGCAAAGAACAUCAAAUAAUUCUGAAUACAAAGCAGAAUAUUAGGUUGCACAAAACUCCAAAGAGAAAAACUUAGAAGUAGCUAUUGUAUGCUGAUUACAGAGUGAAUCCAGAGAGAAAAUAACGAAAUAUUUCCUAGGUAGAUUGCAAACGAACAACCACCAACCUAAAUUCAGAUACACAGAGUGCUUGAAAAAUAUGGUAAGAAUAGUGUAUUUCCUAAGAUUAACAGCUAAAAAUGGAACACAUAAUACUAAAGUACUUGAAGAUUGUAUUUCUGCAAAGUAAUAAUUCUGUUGGGAAACAUCACCUGCUGAUCACCUGGGGAACAGUGUGAGAUGAAGAUUAAGUAUAUUUCUACAAUUUCUGACACAUUUCUAGGUCAGGCAGAAGAAAAAACUAUGAUAUUGCAUUUAAAUGGAAAUGGAAAAUGAUGUUCUGCUAUAGAACCACAUAGGAACUUUCCCAUAUCCCUUGGAAAGUAGCUAGUUAGGAGGUAAUUUUUCAAUUUCUUUUAGUAUCUUAGAGGUAUUGCCUGAUAAAAUAGUAAAAAAAAGAACAAAAAAUCUUGGAGGUAAAUGGAUAAAAUCAGAUGCAAGCUUUCAAAAAAUUUAGACCAUACGAAAUAUAUACAGAAAAAUAACUUUUAGUUCUAGUAACACUAAAUUAGAUUUUAAAAGUGAAAAUCAAUAUGGAAAAAGUACCGUUUCUGACUUAGAAUAUAACAGGAUAUUUUGAUGUUUUCCCUUUCUCAUAAAGCCUGUAUUAAGGGGAAUUUUACACAGUGAAUAGGUAUUGGUGUAUGAAUCACAUAUGACGUUUUCAUUCCAGUUAGUUUGGAUAGUGGCCCAUUGCACAUUUAUUGCACAGAGAAUAAGCACAGAAUCUUCACUUUUAAUGCAGUGGAACAGGCUGUUUUAUUUCACAGCUUGCCCAAGUCAUUUAUAGCUCACCAAAAAAAAUUUACUUAACACAUGGUGGCAUAUGUAACUCCAUAAAGCUUUUUUUGAGAAGGAGGUGGAAGAUGGCAUUUGUAUACACAAAUAUAUCCAUACACAUACUCAGGCUAACGCAAUAUGUUAGCACUCUUUUGUGUUAUAAACACAAAAUAAGCACAUUAUCAUGGUAACUGAAGAUGAUUAUUUUUGUAAGAACCUGCCUAUUCUUUCUCCACAUCAUGAUUUCCAGAUUCCCCCUCAGAUUUAUCCUGCAGUUCUUGGUCUCUUCAGUGAAAUAUGCUUAAAAUCUUGCUCAUACCUCCCUGGAGCUGCUCACUGGUGUGCACCGUCAUGUGCACUGCACAGCCUGGGUACCAGAGCAGAUGCUUCUACACUGACUGUUCGUGUGGAAGACAGUGUGGCAGCUGACAUAUUUAUCUCCUUUAUUUCAUGAGACCCCUUUAUAUGGGCAUGAAGAGGAUUUCUCAGUACACAGAUCACAGGAUGACAGAGGUUGUGCCUCUUCCCCAUAGCUAACACAAUGGAAGAAGGCUAAUACACAUAUUACUCCUGGGAAUUCCUCCAUGAGAAAGGAUAAUACAGUUUGCAAGGUCAGUUUCUUAAUUUACUGCAUGUAUUCCGGACAGGUAGGAUGCAUUCCUAUUCAUCAGGACAAAUCCAAAGCUAUAAUAGAAUGAUGUCCUUCCUCCUAUUUUAAGGUUUGAUUUAUAUUUCAAGCUUUUUUUUUUUCUUUUUUUCUUUUUUUUUUUCUUCCGAGAAAUAAAGGUUAGACUCAAUUGAUGAAAUUGUUGAGAUUAUUUAAUCCUUGUAUCUUAGUUUAUUAUCCAGACUGAUGAACCACACAGCUCAAAAAUUAAGGAAAAUAAAAAGUUCUGUUUUUAGGUUAGACUACUCUGACUAUGUGAAAUAAAAAGCAUGGAACCGUAUUUUUUUUCUGUUAAAGCAUGAUGUUAUCACCAAACUAUUUUUUGUCAGUAACUAGAGAAAAUACAAAAAAAAAAAGAAAAAAAGGAAAAACACUGUGAGUGUUCAUGUAUGGUUAUGUAAACCAUGAGUGCUUAUCACUAGCAUAUUAUCUUCCAGAAGAUCAGUAACUAAAUAUUUACUGUUAAAAACAUUUAUUGUUUUGAAACAUUACAAAUCUAUUCCUUAUACUUGAAUCUGGAAAUAGGUCUACAAAACCUUUACUAGAAUAUUCUGGAGUUUUCUGACCAAGCUGACACUCAAAGAACCAGUGGAAAUGCCAGAAAGUGAGCCUUUGGCAGAACUGCAUAGAGAAGUGCUUGGAAUUCAGUACACAUACCGGAUGGAAAUUUAAAGAAAAAGUGAACAACUGCACUCUGUUGGAAUGCAUGGAUGAGGAGUCACUCAGUUCCUAUAAGAAAUUUGCUAUUUUGUGUCUGGAAGUCUGUAAGCAAGGCCAAGCACAGACUAUGACAAGCUUUGCAAGUAUUUGUUGACUCCAAUUAUGGAAUGAGUGAAGGCAUGUCAUGCUUACUGAUGUUUCUUAUAACACAUUUUGUAUUUUCUAAAAGAACAUUCAUUUCAUAUGGACCUAUGAAAUGCCAAAAGUUUAUCUUAAAUGCACACAGCAUAUUCAAAAUGAGAAGUUUCAAAAUUUACUUAUAACAAACUAUUUCAUUUAAAAUGCUAUUUAUAUCUGUACAACUCUUUCCUAUUAGAAAUAAUUGCAGCUAAAAUUAUCUUGUAGAUAACCAGUUCUGAAAUUCAAGAAAAUAAUUUCCUGCAUAUUUCUUAAUUUGAAAAACGGUAGGUGGAAAAUACCAUGUAUGAUCUGUUGGCUGAGUAGAUAGGGUACAUAAACCAAUCAUGAUCUAACACUGAAUCAAUAUAUUAAUCAUGUGUUUUUAAUUGUUUCUUUCAAUCCUUACAGGGAAAACAUCUGUUAUUUUGUCUGUAAUGUCUGUAAUAUUCCAGAGACAUUUCAUAAGCAAACUUUAAACAAAAGAUAUUGCACUUUCCGAAAUGAAUAAAGAAAUUGGUUUGCAUAUGUCAAUGAAGAUCACAAUAUGCAUCAUAAGAUUUACUGAAAUUUAAGAUUAACUUUCUGAUCUGCUCAAGGCAGAAUAUCAAGUAUAAGAUAGCAUGCAACAAUGCAUAUCAUAAAAAUAACUAACACAGUGUCAAAGAACAAAACUCUGAAUUAUUUUAUAUUCUUAACUAGUAUGAAAAUACAGAAAAUGACAAGAUGAUAUGUAUAGAGAAACGAAGAUUAUCAUAGCAAUACUCAGUUAUUUAUAUUGACCAUUUGGUUGUUUCAGCAAAGUAAGUAGUACUGUUUACUGAUAUUUGCUUACUUGGUACAUUUUCAUAUCACAAAAACCAUUCCCAACAAAACAGUAACACAUUUCUCAAGUCAGUAAACAACUAAAAAAAGCAGCUUUAUUUUUUCCCUGAUUAUUCCACUAGCGUACAUUCCAAUGUUGUACUCUGUGAGCUGAACAUGAACUCUGUUGCCACAUUAUUGAUCAAGCUGCCUAAAAGCCAGUUUUCAUUGCCAUUUGAGAGUCAUAUCUUGCCUUCCCUCCUGCUGCCUGUCUUAAACAUCUUGGUUGUGUAAGUUCCCUGACGUAUUUCUAAGCCUGUGUGAAUGGCUUGCGUGACUAAAACAUUUCAAAUAUCAUUAGAUGUGCAUGUUUAAGGAAUUACAUUCAUUCAACACAAUAUUAAAGAAAGUAAUAUAUAUGCUACUUUUCACAUCCAGUUAGAGCAUUUAAAAAUAUAAAAAUAGUACUAGAAUUAUAAGUUUUUAACUAUAAUGCUAAAUUCUUAUCUGCAAUGAGAAAAUAAAUCAAUUCUCAUUGCCAUGAGAGUCUCUGUUCAAU